AGGACUUGUUGCCAUUUUCACCUGAAUAUUCUGUUGGGCAGUGCACGAAGAGCCUAAACCAUCCUUCAUCUUAUCGAGGUUACAACAACCAUGGAUAUAAUAAUUUGCCUUUUAGUUGUACUCGAUUAUUUCUAAAUUCGGUGAAGGAAAAUGAAUAAAUCCGUCGAAGCGCUUAUAGAAAACACAAUUCCAUCAAUCGAGGGAGACAUGAAGCGCACUAUGUGCUGUGGAUGACAUCGUUUUGUGCUAAGAAUUCAAUCGAAAUUACGUAAUCCACUUGGCGUAUCCAUGCAUCUUUAAAUGUCAUAGGUUUCCACAUUUCACAACUUUAAUUUAUUUCAUCACAAAAACGAUCUUUUUUACGUUGAUGCAAUUGGGAUUGUUAUUAUUUUUUUUUAACCCAGAUUUUUGGUUUAAAGUUUGCGUUGGUGCAAGCCAGGGAGUCAAACGCUGUGCAGAUUAAAGACGGAUUUGGAAAAGCUUUUUGGUUAACAUCACUCCAAAAUAGAACCGAUCAAUGGAGACAUUCAACAUCUGCAUUCCGAGCCAGCAUAAGUUUGGAUCCUUUAGCGCUUGACGUAACCACCAAACCAAAUGGAAACAACAGUUUUCUAAUCUAUAUCCAUACAAUUAUUAUGUUGCCUUUGAAUACAUUGUUACAUGUUACAAAUUAGUUCCAAUAGAAACAUUUGUUAUCAUACUAAAAGAUGUUGUAUGUAGUAUUAAUGUUUGUACGGAAUCUCCGUGCAACGUUCAUCAGGAAAAAUAUCAUAGACAAAUAGUUAUGUUUACUUAUAGGAAUUAUUUUCGAAUAUUAUAACUGUUGGCAUUUGCGUGUCUUAAAGCAUAGUAACUUACUGACUUGGUGUGCACUGUUCACCAUUGAAAUUGUUGUAUUAUAUAACCAUUCUAAGCUAAUUUAGUAAGAAAACUUACCUUUAAGGAGACUAGUAUUAAGUAAUCAAUGCAGUUGAAACACAAUAAAAUCACUCGCAAUGUUAUUCCACGAAAUACGAGAUUUUUAUUUGCAAUUUAUUGGUAGCUUAUACUUUCUAUAGAAUUUACAGUUUAUGGCAUUUGUGUGUCUUAAAUCGCUUUUAUAUG